UGCUCACGGCGUUGUCGUCAAUCGAACUCAAACCUGGUUCCAUACACCGCAAGUCCAAUCAAAGUCAAAGGUGGCAGGAACGAGUACAUGAAUGAAGAAAAAAA